CAUGCCGCGUGUGUGAAGAAGGUCUUCGGAUUGUAAAGCACUUUAAGUUGGGAGGAAGGGUAGUAACUUAAUACGUUGCUAUUUUGACGUUACCGACAGAAUAAGCACCGGCUAACUUCGUGCCAGCACCCUCGGUGACUGAGCGGGCUGGCAAGGCGCAUA
rnacentral:rRNA from 1 species